UACGUAGGGGGCAAGCGUUAUCCGGAAUCAUUGGGCGUAAAGCGCGCGCAGGCGGUCCUUUAAGUUCUGAUGUGAAAUCUCGCGGCUCAACCGCGAGCGGUCAUUGGAAACUGGGGGGACUUGAGUGGCAGAAGAGAAGAGCGGAAUUCCACGUGUAGCGGUGAAAUGCGUAGAGAUGUGGAGGAACACCAGUGGCGAAGGCGGCUCUUUGGUCUGUAACUGACGCUGAGGCGCGAAAGCGUGGGGAGCAAACAGG
rnacentral:rRNA from 1 species